CACUACUGUGCGAACGUUAUUCGGAAUCACUGGGCUUAAAGGGUGCGUAGGCGGUUUAGUAAGUAGGGUGUGAAAUGCCAGGGCUCAACCCUGGCACUGCGCUCUAAACUGUUAAACUUGAGUGAGAUAGGGGUGUACGGAACUUCCGGUGGAGCGGUGAAAUGCGUUGAUAUCGGAAGGAACACCGGUGGCGAAAGCGG
rnacentral:rRNA from 1 species